rnacentral:rRNA from 1 species
GACGAACGCUGGCGGCAGGCCUAACACAUGCAAGUCGAGCGGACCUUUCGGGGUCAGCGGCGGACGGGUGAGUAACGCGUGGGAAUAUGCCCUUCUCUACGGAAUAGUCCUGGGAAACUGGGGGUAAUACCGUAUACGCCCUUUGGGGGAAAGAUUUAUCGGGGAAGGAUUAGCCCGCGUUGGAUUAGGUAGUUGGUGGGGUAAUGGCCUACCAAGCCGACGAUCCAUAGCUGGUUUGAGAGGAUGAUCAGCCACACUGGGACUGAGACACGGCCCAGACUCCUACGGGAGGCAGCAGUGGGGAAUCUUAGACAAUGGGGGCAAACCUGAUCUAGCCAUGACGCGUGAGUGAUGAAGGCCUUAGGGUUGUAAAGCUCUUUAAGCUGGGAAGAUAAUGACGGUAACAGAAGAAGAAGCCCCGGCUAACUCCGUG